rfam:Hyphomonas sp. L-53-1-40 contig2, whole genome shotgun sequence.
UAGAGGCCCCGUGGUGAUUUGGUCGGUCGGCUUGCAGCCACGUUAAACAACUUGCUAAAAGGCUGCGCGGGAAAUCCG